rnacentral:misc_RNA from 1 species
UUUGUUUUUAGUAAUAAAAUAAAACUAAUUACAAAAAAAAAAGAGAGAAAUAAGGGUAUGCAACAGUGUAAAAUGAUUACAACAUUGUUAUUGGAAUAUUGAGUUAAAUUUUAUUAAAAACUAAAAUUGUUUCAAAUUUUUUUAAUAAAAAUAAUGAUAUUAAUAAUUUAAGAAUUUUAAAACAAUUAAAAUUAAAAUUAAAA